rnacentral:rRNA from 1 species
ACCCCCUGGGUGCCGCAGCUAACGCAUUAAGUGCCCCGCCUGGGGAGUACGGUCGCAAGAUUAAAACUCAAAGGAAUUGACGGGGGCCGCAGGGAUGAGAGUGG